GUCAAAAUCUUGAAAAAAAACUCAGAUGUGAAAAUACAGAAAAUCAAAGAAACAAUUUUUUUUAUAAAUUUUGUACAAAAGUGUUUAAAUAUCAAGAAAAACAAUGUGCAGCCCCAUCCAAUGCUUGCCAAGUUACAAGGAGCCCCCAACAUAUAUUCCUUGUAUCCCCAUCAGAGGUCCACCAUGCCUGCCUUGCGGUAUGGAUAAUUGGACGGUUCGCCGACCCCUCAUCGUUCAUGACAGCACGUUUGACUACAGACCCACUAGCUGGCCUGGCAUGGUGUUGAACAAUCAGGACAAGAAAGUGCGGUAUCAGCUCAUCAAUUUUGAACGGCCUGUAAAAUCGCACUAUCCGACAUGUUCUCCAUCCUACAAUAGUUGCUGCUAAUCUGAGGUUGCGGCGGCUGCCGACCUCACUGCUGCCGACCCUGCCGGCCGUGCUGUGGCAGCGGCUCCCUCGUCACAGUAUACAGUCAAGUAGCACAUAUCCAGUGACGGGCCACCGCGCUCGCGAUCACUUACUAAAUGCCGUGUUAGCGGUGGGCCAGCCGCCAAGACCAGUUGCAGCAUUCGACAAAGCGGUUAUAGAAAUUGGUCAUCAUUGAAACUGAGGCAGGCUAAAGAAGGAAUUUAAUAAGUUAAUUUGUCUGGUAAAAGUUCUGUACCGUCACGUGGUUUAAUUAACUGGUUGUUAUUAUGUAAAAGUGUCAAUAAAAAAUGUUAUAUUUAA